GUAAGGAUGAGGUCUAAUUAUUUUUUUAUGCAACAAAAAAGUUAUACUAAUGCAACAAAAAAGUUAUACUAAUUUCAAUAAAAUUGGUUAUUACUACCAUGAAAUUUCUGUGAUGCUAUUAACUGUUUUUGCUCUUUUUUAGAAAAUUUAGAAAAAUAAAUUGAAAUUUCGUGCCACUACUGACAUGUCACAUGUUAUUGUAUGUAAAGAUUAAAUUUUUGUUAUGAGAACUACAGUUCUUAUGAAAGAAAAAGAUUCACUAAAAGCCUACUACUACUUCUACUACUCUGGUAAAUCACAUCAGCUUUAUCAGAUCUAAAUUGGAGCAGCUACAGACUAUAUUGCUCCCAGCACCCAGGACCACUCUGAGAGGUCCAUUAACAAAUGUUGCAGUAAUAAUGGUAUGGAAUAGCCCUCUUUCAAAUGGAGGGCUCAUCCAUACAGGGGUGCUGGGAGGCACCAAGUAAAAAAUAGCAACAA